AGAGUUUGAUCCUGGCUCAGGAUGAACGCUAGCGGCAGGCCUAAUACAUGCAAGUCGAACGGGUCGGGGUAGCAAUACCUCGAUUAGUGGCGCACGGGUGCGUAACGCGUAUGCAACCUACCUUUUAUUGGGGGAUAGCCCGAAGAAAUUCGGAUUAAUACCGCAUAAGAUCACUUGAGGGCAUCUGAGGGUGAUGAAAGCUGAGGCGAUAAAAGAUGGGCAUGCGUGUCAUUAGCUAGUUGGUGAGGUAACGGCUCACCAAGGCGACGAUGACUAGGGGUUCUGAGAGGAUGAUCCCCCACACUGGUACUGAGAUACGGACCAGACUCCUACGGGAGGCAGCAGUAGGGAAUAUUGGGCAAUGGCGGAAACGCUGACCCAGCCAUGCCGCGUGCAGGAUGAAGGCCUUCUGGGUUGUAAACUGCUUUUACCAGGGAAGAAAAUACUCUUGCGAGAGGAACUGACGGUACCUGGUGAAUAAGCACCGGCUAACUCCGUGCCAGCAGCCGCGGUAAUACGGAGGGUGCAAGCGUUGUCCGGAUUUAUUGGGUUUAAAGGGUGCGUAGGCGGCGUAAUAAGUCCGUGGUGAAAGCCAACAGCUCAACUGUUGAACUGCCAUGGAUACUGUUAGGCUGGAGUACAGACGAGGUAGGCGGAAUGGAUCGUGUAGCGGUGAAAUGCAUAGAUACGAUCCAGAACUCCGAUUGCGAAGGCAGCUUACUAGGCUGUAACUGACGCUGAGGCACGAAAGCGUGGGGAGCGAACAGGAUUAGAUACCCUAGUAGUCC
rnacentral:rRNA from 1 species